CUCACACACGUGUUGUUUUUUUGUUUCAGUACUUUCUAUGAUUACCUGAUGCACUGAGUAUGGUCAUGUCAAUCAUCGGUUUAAUAACGUGAAAUUUUCCUUGCUCGCAUUUUUAUUUUUAUUUUAUAAAUCUGCAUGGUCUUUAACGUAUUUUCGUAGCUUGGCAAUUAAUUAUUGAGAGUAAUAUAUUUGUAAAAUAUUUGUAAUAUAUUUGUAUAAUGUAGCAAUUUUCUUCUUGUAUCACCAUAUGUUCUACUUUACCUUGCGUUCUAGCGUAAAACUGACUAAAUUUGUUGUUUCUGGGUCGUUUUCUACUUAAACUUUGUAUUUUAUGUUUAUGUUUGUUUUUCUUGAUUUCCUAUUAUAAGUUUUCUAAAUUUGUAUUCCCGACUGUUUUCUUUUUUGUACUAUUGAUUUUCUUUUUGUGAUGUAGUAAUUUUCUUUUUGUAAUUCCCUGUAUAUUUGUUCCCAUUUUCACUCACGUAGAAAAUGGUCUAUUUCCUAAUUUCUUUAUCCCGGCCGUACUUUGCGAAGUGCAACUUGCUUGCAUGUGCGCGGCUAUGCAGGUCGUAAGUCCUGUUUCAAUAUGGCGACAUGUAAUCUGUUGACUUGUAAAAUAUAAACUUGUAUUCUAUUGUUAAUAAAGAAAUAGUAAGAUA